UUCAUCACUAUUGUUGUGCUCGGUGGUAUUCAGCGUAAGCGCGUCUGAACACACAUCACCCGUCAAGUGUCUAGUGAGCGGGUUUUGACAGAGGACGAGAAACUGUAGAUUGAUCAAGCUGUGAGAAGCACAAUUCCUUUUUGGUUGCCCCAGAUACUGGAUGAACUGAACUGGCAGAACAGUGCGUAAACUGAUUGAUGACCCUUGACCCUGAUCUACUUCCUGCUUCUCUUCUCCAAGAUACUAUCACUGGAUCCACCAAGUACACCCAGAGCGCUCAGCAGGUAUAAACCAGGUGG